rnacentral:rRNA from 1 species
GAUGAACGCUGGCGGCGUGCCUAAUACAUGCAAGUCGAACGAAACUUCUCUAUCACCGUGUGCUUCUACUCACGCAAACAGAGUUGAAUGGCGAACGGGUGCUUCACACGUGUGCAACCUGACUUAAAGAGGCUGAUACUACUUGGAAAUAGGUGCUACUACCGCAUAACCAUAGUUACAGAAUGGUAACUAUGUAAAAGGUGGCUAUACUACCGCAUUUGGUUGGUCCCGUGGCGCGUUAGCUAGUUGGUAGGGUAAAGGCUUACCAAGGCAGUGAUCCGUAGCCGAAUGGAGUGGUUGGUCGGCCACAUUGGAACUGAGACACGGACCAUACUCCUGAGAGAGGCAGCAGUAGGGUAUGGUCCGCAGUAGGGGAGAGUCUGAUGGAGCAAGGCCGCGUGGGUGGAAGAGGUCUUCGGUGCGGAAAACCCUGUUGUUAGUUAAAAAAGGGCUUGGGAGGAACUGUUGACUGUGCGACGGUAUUGAGUCAGAAAGCCACGGCUAACUACGUG